GAGUCUGCAACUCGACUCCAUGAAGUCGGAAUCGCUAGUAAUCGUGAAUCAGAAUGUCACGGUGAAUACGUUCCCGGGCCUUGUACACACCGCCCGUCACACCAUGGGAGUGGGCUGCAAAAGAAGUGGGUAGUUUAACCUUUCGGGGAGGACGCUCACCACUUUGUGGUUCAUGACUGGGGUGAAGUCGUAACAAGGUAGCCCUAGGGGAACCUGGGGCUGGAUCACCUCCUUAUACGAUGAU
rnacentral:rRNA from 1 species